rnacentral:lncRNA from 1 species
GGAGAGUGAGAGAGGGAGCGUGCGUCAGAGGCCGUGGGUGUGAGAGAGCGUGACUUCGUGUGAGUUUGGAAACGAUUAAUUGAUAAAGGCCUAUACGUGUAGAUGAAAGCAGAAGGAAGGAGACGAAGAAACAAAGGAGGAGGACUAUGAAGAAAUGAGAAAUAGAGGCGGAAUAGAAGAAGGAGCAAAGGUGUAAUAUUUAGGUGACGACAGGCAGAGUGAGCUAGACGUGGCGGAGGCUAUGGGCGAUGAAUUCACGGCACAGGUUAGUCACACCUUGCAUCACGCUGACUCCCCACAGCUGUCCACUAAGGUCGGGUAGGCCUGUAUCUCCGUGUUCUACCCU